GUAGUGGCUCUGCACCCGCUCCUCCAGCAGCCUCAGGUGGGUGUCGGUGCCCGCCUGGGCGUUGCCGUAGACCAUGAAGAGCACGAGCCCCAGGAUGAUCAGGAACUGGAUCAGCGAGGUGAAGAGGAAGAUGUACUUGAGGAUUUAAUAUUUCCUCCUGCCGGGCUCCUUCCUGCCCUGCCGGAUGCUCCCGGGGACCCGCCGGGUUAUCAGGGCGCAGCUUCUGCUGGGAUUGUUGUUCCUGAAGUGCGAAAGCAGAAAAGGAAAAAAAAACCAUUUCAAUCCUUCCAUCCCA